UCCUCAGGUAUGUCUAAACUGACUGGAGAUGACCUAAGAAAUUAUGAAGGUGUCUGUCCUGGCUUGGGAUGCCACUCUAAUUUCCAGGUGUGUCUACACUGACCUGGGAGGUCUUCCUCAGGUGUGUCUACUCUGCCCAGAGAUGUCUCCUAGGUCUGAGGAGAAGGAUGGGAUCCAGAGAAGACUGCUAAUGGCUUUGGGGACAACAAGAAGCACAGGUGCUGGUACCUGCUGAACUCUUUGAGUUCUUGGUCUUUCUCAUGUCUCCACAGGCCAUGGUUUCUGGUGACCCAGAUGGGACCCACUGGGACACCUCACUUGCUCUGGAGCCUGCAGACAGGAUACUGAGGAACCUGGCAGAAGCUGGCAAAGAGAG